AUUGAACGCUGGCGGCAGGCCUAACACAUGCAAGUCGAGCGAGCGGCGGACGGGUGAGUAAUGUCUGGGAAACUGCCUGAUGGAGGGGGAUAACUACUGGAAACGGUAGCUAAUACCGCAUACCAUCAGAUGUGCCCCGAUGGGAGUAGCUAGUAGGUGGGGUAACGGCUCACCUAGGCGACGAUACCUAGCUGGCCUGAGAGGAUCACCAGCGACACUGGAACUGAGACACGGUCCAGACUCCUACGGGAGGCAGCAGUGGGGAAGAUUGCACAAUGGGCGCAAGCCUGAUGCAGCCAUGCCGCGUGUGUGAAGAAGGCCUUCGGGUUGUAAAGCACGUUCAGCGGGGAGGCGUUACCCGCAGAAGAAGCACCGGCUAACUCCGUGCCAGCAGCCGCGGUAAUUC
rnacentral:rRNA from 1 species